GAAGCUGAGCUCUUGUCAUUUUGCUCCUUUGCCUGAGUCAUCUGGGGUGGACCAGGCUGGACCAGGCUGGAGUAACUCUCCCUUGAGUGGAGAACAGUGGGCAAUAGAGAGAGAUUUCCAGGGUGCUGCAGAAGGAUGCAGAGCAGGAGUCACAGAUGAGAGCAGAGAUCCAGAGCAUGAAGCAGGAGCUGUCCACCGUCAACAUGAUGGAUGAGUUUGCCAGAUACGCCAGGCUGGAGAGAAAAAUCAACAAAAUGACAGACAAACUCAAAACUCACGUGAAGGCACGGACAGCUCAGUUGGCCAAGAUCAAGUGGUUUAUAAGUGUUGCUUUCUACGUACUACAAGCAGCGUUGAUGAUCUCACUCAUCUGGAAGUAUUACUCUGUCCCUGUGGCUGUGGUGCCCAGCAAGUGGAUCACCCCACUAGACCGGCUGGUGGCCUUUCCUACUCGAGUAGCAGGUGGAAUCGGAGUCACCUGCUGGAUUUUAGUCUGCAACAAAGUCGUGGCUAUCAUUCUCCACCCUUUCAGCUGAGGGGAGGCCAGCCACAGCCUUUACCCGAGAAUUCUGUUAGGUGAAGAGCGGAUUGCGCACAAGGCCACAGAUUGUUGUUUUUUGUGUUCUGGAGUACGAUUGCUUUUGUGUGUCACCUGGGAUUCUUGUUGAAGUCAGGAUUUCCUAUACUCGCCAUUGAGCCAGAAAGACCAGUUACGUACGGCAUUCCCGC
rnacentral:lncRNA from 1 species